UUUGCAAUGUUGUAAAAAGAGACCUUUAAAGAUCCCAGGUCCCCAAACAAUACAGAUAGGGUAGCAGAAGGCCUGCAAACCCAGGGCCUUGUGCAUGCUGGGCAAGUACUCAUGAGCCCUGUAUUAAAGGAGCCAUUUUUGCACAUAAGAACUUAGCUGGAGGUAGGGGCUUUGGGUUUGGAUAAAUGAACUCCAGGCCCUGACCCAUAAAAGCCCUUUGUGGACAACAGUUGUAAGAGCUGCCACCUGAUGAAGGUCUCCGGCCACCUGCAUGUGGAGCUAAACACAUCAUUUCUGUUCAUCAACUCCUUUCACCCUUGCAGUGACCCACACUUUACAGAUGAGGAGACAGCCACAGAGGGGCCAAGGAAGGUGUCCAGAUCACACAGCUGAUGAGUACAGGAGCACGCAAAGCCGUCUCUAGGGCAGUAAAGUGUGGCGCUAUUAGCAGCACCUGUAACUGUCACCAGUAGAAUUACAGCUAUUUUCAGACCACAUUAUGGCUGUUGCAGGUAUCUCAAAAAAUCAUUUAUACUCAUCACUGUGCACUUGGAAAUUAUGGCAGUCAUUAGAUCCAUUGCUAGAUCUUGUUAUAUUGAAUAUAUUAAUCAAGCAGCAUGCAUGACUACAUUGUAAAUUGCGCUUCAGGAGCCGGUCAUCAAUUCCCUUUCUGAUCCUAGGUAAUUUACUUACUGCAUUGAAAGGCAUUUUUCCUGCGAAAGGGUCGAUAAGCAGUACCAGAUUGCCAAGGCUAUGUAUGGCAUGACCAGGCAGGCUCUGUGCUACAUAACUGCAUGCUGGAGGCUCAUAGGCACUACACUGAACAUUUCUCCAGGCCCCUCACUUGUACCCUCACCUUCCCCAAACCAGGAAUGAUGGCCAUCAGGGUCCUUGGGCAGUCUGGAGUCAUUAGCAAACCAGGGACCAAGUUGGAAUAGAAUCUUGGUCUUUCUAAGAGUUCAUUCUGUGUCCAUCAUGGCUCUACCUUCUCUGCAAGUUGACUGUCUGCCCUCUAGUGCAGUUCCCUCAAACACAAAUGACCCACUUAAGGAAAAGAACACCUGAUGGGCAAUAGAUGACACCACAUUAGUAGCUCCCCAGUGCAUCUCCACAGCUGGCAUUUGGAGCAAGGGUCUCUCCAGGUAGGAAGGGAAUACCCAAGAACAGGCCACCAAGAGUGUGUAGCCCAACGGCUAUCAGCCCGCCAAAUGCUUGAGUCCACAUCCCAGCUUCAUCGAUG
rnacentral:lncRNA from 1 species